UAGGGAAUAUUGGGCAAUGGACGCAAGUCUGACCCAGCCAUGCCGCGUGGAGGAAGACGGCGCUCAGCGUUGUAAACUCCUUUUAUCGGGGAAGAACAGCAGAGAUGCGUUUCUGUGUGACGGUACCUGAAGAAUAAGCACCGGCUAACUCCGUGCCAGCAGCCGCGGUAAUACGGAGGGUGCAAGCGUUGUCCGGAUUUAUUGGGUUUAAAGGGUGCGUAGGUGGGUUAUCAAGUCUGAUUUGAAAGCGUGUCGCUUAACGAUACGAUGUGGUUGGAAACUGGUAGUCUUGAAUGGGGUAGCGGUAGCCGGAAUGGGUCAUGUAGCGGUGAAAUGCUUAGAUAUGACAUGGAACACCAAUUGCGAAGGCAGCUUACUAUGCGGUUAUUGACACUGAGGCACGAAAGCGUGGGUAGCAAACA
rnacentral:rRNA from 1 species